rnacentral:rRNA from 1 species
UACAGAGGUCUCAAGCGUUGUUCGGAUUCAUUGGGCGUAAAGGGUGCGUAGGCGGCGCGGUAAGUCGGGUGUGAAAUCUCGGAGCUUAACUCCGAAACUGCAUUCGAUACUGCCGUGCUUGAGGACUGGAGAGGAGACUGGAAUUUACGGUGUAGCGGUGAAAUGCGUAGAUAUCGUAAGGAAGAUCAGUGGCGAAGGCGGGGUCUCUGGACAGUUCCUGACGCUGAGGCACGAAGGCCAGGGGGAGCAAACGGG